rnacentral:tRNA from 5 species
GGGUUCGUGGCUCAAUGGGAGAGCACUCGGUUUGCACCCGAGGGGUUCCGGGUUCGAGUCCCGGCGGAUCCA